rnacentral:rRNA from 1 species
CACGUAGGGCGCAAGCGUUGUCCGGAAUUAUUGGGCGUAAAGGGCUCGUAGGCGGUCUGUUGCGUCGGGAGUGAAAACUCAGGGCUUAACCCUGAGCCUGCUUCCGAUACGGGCAGACUAGAGGUAUGCAGGGGAGAACGGAAUUCCUGGUGUAGCGGUGAAAUGCGCAGAUAUCAGGAGGAACACCGGUGGCGAAGGCGGUUCUCUGGGCAUUACCUGACGCUGAGGAGCGAAGGUGUGGGGAGCGAACAGG